rnacentral:rRNA from 1 species
GAUGAACGCUGGCGGCGUGCCUAAUACAUGCAAGUCGAGCGGACGGACGAGAAGCUUGCUUCUCUGUUGUUAGCGGCGGACGGGUGUGUCACACGUGGAUCCCCUCCCUAUAUGACUGGGAUAACUUCGGGAAACCGGAGCUAAUACCGGAUAAUCUUUUGCACCGCAUGGUUCAAAAGUGAGAUUCGGUCUUGCUGUCACUUCUCGCUGGUUCCGCGCUGCAUUAGCUAGUUGGUAAGGUAACGGCUUACCAAGGCAACGAUGCAUAGCCGACCUGAGAGGGUGAUCGGCCACACUGGAGCGGAGACACGGACCAGGCGCCUACGAGAGGCAGCAGUAGGGAAUCUUCCGCAAUGGGCGAAAGCCUGACGGAGCAAGGCCGCGUGAGAGAUGAAGGUCUUCGGAUCGUAAAACUCUGUUAUGAGGGAAGAACAGAUGUGUAAGUAACUGUGCACAUAGUGACGGUAACUAAUCAGAAAGCCACGGCUAACUACGUG